rnacentral:rRNA from 1 species
AUACGGAGGAUCCAAGCGGUGUUCGGAUUUAUUGGGUUUAAAGGGUGCGUAGGCGGAUUUUUAAGUCAGUGGUGAAAGCCUGUAGCUCAACUACAGAAUUGCCAUUGAAACUGAAAAUCUUGAGUAUAGUUGAGGUGGAUGGAAUGUUGCAUGUAGCGGUGAAAUGCUUAGAUAUGCAAUGGAACACCAAUAGCGAAGGCAGUUCACUAAACUAUUACUGACGCUGAGGCACGAAAGCGUGGGUAGCAAACAGGAUUAGAUACCCUGGUAGUCCACGCCCUAAACUUUGCAUACUAGUUAUUGGCGAUAUACUGUCAGUGACCAAGCGAAAGCGUUAAGUAUGCCACCUGGCGAGUACGACCGCAAGGUUGAA